rnacentral:rRNA from 1 species
AACGAACGUUGGCGGCGUGGAUUAGGCAUGCAAGUCGAACGAAUCCCUGGGGGCAACUCCGGGGGGAAGUGGCGAAAGGGGCAGUAAGGCGUAGGUAACCUACCCGGGGGACGGGGAUAGCCCUUCUAACGAAGGGGUAAUACCCGGCGAUCUGGCGUGGAGACAUCUCCGUGCCAGGAAAGGAGUUUCGCCUCCGGAGGGGCUUACGUAGUAUUAGCUAGACGGCGGGGUAACGGCCCACCGUGGCCAAGAUGCUUAGCGGGUGUGAGAGCACGACCCGCGCCACUGGCACUGUGACACUGGCCAGACUCCUACGGGAGGCUGCAGUCGAGGAUCUUCGGCAAUGGGCGCAAGCCUGACCGAGCGACGCCGCGUGUGCGAUUGAAGGCCUUCGGGUUGUAAAGCACUGUCGAGGGGGAGGAAGGCCCGCAAGGGCUUGACCUAUCCCUGGAGGAAGCACGGGCUAAGUUCGUGC